rnacentral:misc_RNA from 1 species
ACGAGUAAGGGUCCUCUGGGCCCGACCUCCCAACCCAUUGUCUACCAAACCAUUUGUUGCUUCGGCGAGCCCGUCUCCACGGACCGCCGGGGGACCGUGACAGGUCUCCUGGCCCGCGCUCGUCGGCAGCCCCAACCUUAAAAAUUCUUAAGUAAACGUGUCUUGACUAAGUACCAAUUUUUUAAUUAAAAGCA